CGUAACAAGGUCUCCGUAGGUGAACCUGCGGAGGGAUCAUUACAUAAAUAUGAAGGCGGGCUGGAACCUCUCGGGGUUACAGCCUUGCUGAAUUAUUCACCCUUGUCUUUUGCGUACUUCUUGUUUCCUUGGUGGGUUCGCCCACCACUAGGACAAACAUAAACCUUUUGUAAUUGCAAUCAGCGUCAGUAACAAAUUAAUAAUUACAACUUUCAACAACGGAUCUCUUGGUUCUGGCAUCGAUGAAGAACGCAGCGAAAUGCGAUAAGUAGUGUGAAUUNCAGAAUUCAGUGAAUCAUCGAAUCUUUGAACGCACAUUGCGCCCUUUGGUAUUCCAAAGGGCAUGCCUGUUCGAGCGUCAUUUGUACCCUCAAGCUUUGCUUGGUGUUGGGCGUCUUGUCUCUAGCUUUGCUGGAGACUCGCCUUAAAGUAAUUGGCAGCCGGCCUACUGGUUUCGGAGCGCAGCACAAGUCGCACUCUCUAUCAGCAAAGGUCUAGCAUCCAUUAAGCCUUUUUUUCAACUUUUGACCUCGGAUCAGGUAGGGAUACCCGCUGAACUUAAGCAUAUCA
rnacentral:rRNA from 1 species